rnacentral:tRNA from 1 species
UCGCCUGAUCAACAAAAGAAA